GACGAACGCUGGCGGCGUGCUUAACACAUGCAAGUCGAACGAGGCUCACCUUUCGGGGUGGGUUCUAGUGGCGAACGGGUGAGUAACACGUGGGCAACCUGCCCCGCUGCUGGGAUAACUCCAAGAAAUUGGGGCUAAUACCGGAUAUUCACUGCUGGCCGCAUGGUUGGUGGUGGAAAGUUUUUCGGCUGGGGAUGGGCCCGCGGCCUAUCAGCUUGUUGGUGGGGUAGUGGCCUACCAAGGCGA
rnacentral:rRNA from 1 species